GCCCACUUAGCUCUGUGGUUAGAGCAUCACUCUUGAAUGUUGAGGUUUCAGGUUCAAUUUCUGCAGAGCA
rnacentral:tRNA from 1 species